UGCAGGCGUGGGCGGAACCGGGCCACCAGGAACGGAUGCAGGCGUGGCCGGAGCCGGGCCACCAGGAACCGAUGCAAGCGUGGCCGGAGCCGGGCCACCAGGAACCGAUGCAGGCGUGGCCGGAGCCGGGCCACCAGGAACCGAUGCUGGGACGACCUCCUUCUGGAGUCGACAGGAACCGAAGCCGGAACGACCCCCUCCUGGAGGCCGACAGGAACUGAAGCUGGAGCUGGAAGGACCUCCUCCCGGAGGCCGACAGGAACCGAAGCUGGAGCUGGAACGACCUCCUCCCGGAGGCCGACAGGAACCGAAGCUCGGACGACCUCCUCCCGGAGGCCGACAGGAACCGAAGCAGAAGCUGGAACAACCUCCUCCUGGAGGCAGACAGGAACCGGGACUGGAACGACCUCCUCCUGGUGGCCGACAGGAACCAAAGCUGGAACCACCUCCUCCUGGAGGCCGACAGGAACCGAAGCUGGGACGACCUCCUCCUGGAGGCUGACAGGAACCGAAGCUGGGACGACCUCCUCCUGGAGGCCGACAGGAACCAAAGCUGGGGCAACCUCCUCCUGGAGGCCGACAGGAACUGAAGCAGGAGCUGGAACGACCUCCUCCUGGAGGCCGACAGGAACUGGGGCUAGAACGACCCCCUCCUGGAGGCCACAGGAACCGAAGCUGGAACGACCUCCUCCUGGAGGCCGACAGGAACUAGAACGGCUUCCUCGCCAGAGCCGACAGGAACUAGAACGACGUCCUCGCCGGAGCCGACAGGAACUAGAAUGGCGUCCGCGGUGGAGCCGACAGGAACUAGAACGGCGUUCUCAGUGGAGCCGACAGGAACUAGAACAGCAUCCUUGCUGGAGCCGACAGGAACUACAACGGCGUCCUCGCUGGAGUCGACAGGAACUAGAACGGCCCCCGCCUGGAGGCCGACACGGACAGGAACGACCCCCGCCUGGAGGCCGACAGGAACUGCGGCCGGAUCGACCCAGUAGAUUCCAACAAGGACCAGACUGGUCUCUCCUUGACCAGCGGUGGGCAACACAACCGCUUCCAUUGGACCGACAGGGACAGGGACGUCGCUGCUACCAGGUUGGCAGGGCCGCUUGCGGCCUCCUCUCUGGAGCCGGCAGGACUGCUUGCGGUCCCUCUCUGGAGCCGGCAGGACUACUUACAGUCUCCUCACUGGAGCCAGCAGGACUGCUUGCGGUCUCCUCUCUGGAGCCAGCUGGGCUACUUACGACCUUUGAGCUUGACGGGAUGGGCGCCGAACCCGACUGGGCUAGAGCCAGUCUUGACCGGCGUGUUGUGCCACCUGGCUGGGGCAAGACUGGAGCGUGA
rnacentral:lncRNA from 1 species